GUGGGGAAUAUUGGACAAUGGGCGCAAGCCUGAUCCAGCAAUGCCGCGUGUGUGAAGAAGGUCUUCGGAUCGUAAAGCACUUUCGACGGGGACGAUGAUGACGGUACCCGUAGAAGAAGCCCCGGCUAACUUCGUGCCAGCAGCCGCGGUAAUACGAAGGGGGCUAGCGUUGCUCGGAAUUACUGGGCGUAAAGGGCGCGUAGGCGGCUCUGUGAGUCAGGCGUGAAAUUCCUGGGCUUAAGCUGGGGACUGCGCUUGAUACUGCAGGGCUUGAGGGCGAGGGAGGGUGGUGGAAUUCCCAGUGUAGAGGUGAAAUUCGUAGAUAUUGGGAAGAACACCGGUGGCGAAGGCGACCACCUGGCUCGGUACUGACGCUGAGGCGCGACAGCGUGGGGAGCAAACAGGAUUAGAUACCCGGGUAGUCC
rnacentral:rRNA from 1 species